GGGCCUGGGUCUCCUCCUCUGGGAAGUGGAGGGAAAUGAUCAGUGGUGUGGGCCUCCCAGCGGGGUGAUACUGUCCAAGGGAGGACAGGAAUAUGAGGAGAUUUGUGCUGGUUCCUCCUUAAGAGGUGAGGGGAGAGCAGAGAUGACACACAGAUGACCCUGAGUCCUCAGGAGACUCCUGGAAGCAGGUGACAUUCUCCUCACACUUUUCAGAUGAGGAAAGAUGUCCAGGGAGGCCUGGGCAGGCCCAAGGUCACACAGGAGUGAGUCCUGGAGCCGGAACUGGUCUAGAAUCAGAGAACCCUGGAGGAGGGAGCAGCAGAGGCAGCAGGGCACUGGAGCCGAUGGCCAAGGAGGCGACCUCCAUGUUAGUGACUGCAGAGAGGGCCCGCCAGGGAGUCCAGGAGAGGCAGGGGCAGUAGGGGAUGUGCUGAACUGUCAGAAAUGGAAUGAGGUAAGCAGCUGCAGCCUCACAGUGGGGAGGCUGGGGGUGUGUAAAUCAGAAACACACCCCGUGGGCAGGACACCCUCUGGCCCAAUCCCCAGGGUCAGACAUUUAUUUGUAGACUUUGAUAUACAGAGCUGGGAAUCCUAUGGCAUUGGUGGGUGGGGAUAGGGCUGGCAUCAAAGACACCUUCCUGGAUGAGGAGCUAUUUCAGGCCAAGUGUGAGAGCAGGCAAGUUCUGACUGGAAUUGCAGGGAGGCAGGGUUCCCAAGUGGGCAAAGGCCCCAGACUGGCUCUUUGUCCCCCUCGUCAUCCCCUCCAAGAGCCCUGCAGGGUCCCCGACUCAGGUCCCGUGUGCAUCCUGUGCUUGCUUUGUCCUAGCAAUUCAAACUGAUGGAGGAGAUCGAGCUGCUCCAGGAGGCUGCAAAUCUGUACACCGUGCAGCCUGACAAGCACUUUGGAGCCUGGUUCCAGGCCAUGGAGCCCCUGAGUGAGGAGGAGAGAUGAGGGAGGUCAGGAGUUGGGAGAGGGCAGGGCAGACUCUCUCUGCUGACCAACUCCAGAGCCCAUGGCCCUGGCUCCCUGGUCAGCCCCAGAUCUGGUUGCAUGGCGAACCCUGGGACCCUUGGACUCCAGCUGUUGGCAGGUUCCAGGAUGCACAUGUGAUGUGUGGCUCCUGAGAGCUUCCAGCUCUACUCUGUCCUGUAGCUACAGCCUGUCCUGCCAGCUGGAGCCCAGAUACCACUGGGCCAGAAAGAUUCGACUCUUCUUCAAAGACAAGAAGAACAGCUCAGGCAAGAGUGUGUGUCUGCACCGGUAGUGGCUGAAUCCACAGGCUCAGGAAACAUUCAGGCUGAGCAUGGGCCUGGGGAGGCAGACAGCUGGCCCUGGGUCCCAACUCCACUGCUGAGCAGUCCUGUCCUGGGCAAUUGCACUCAUGUUUCUUGGACUGGUUUCCUCCUCUGUGAAAUGGGUGAUGUUAAAUAUCAGCCCCUGUGUCAGGGACAGAUGGGGUCCUGUUGGCUGUCUGACCACUCAGCACAGGGCUGGAGCACAGAGCACAGUGGGGGCAGGGAGGGGGUGUGUGCUGUGGUUCCAGGGCAGGCCCCUCAGGAAAUGCCUCUCUUUCUCCAGUCACCAGACCCCCAACCAAGGGCCCAGUGGUGGUGGU
rnacentral:lncRNA from 1 species